UACGGACGGGGGCUAGCGUUGUUCGGAAUUACUGGGCGUAAAGCGCACGUAGGCGGCUUUGUAAGUUAGAGGUGAAAGCCCGGGGCUCAACCCCGGAAUUGCCUUUGAGACUGCAUCGCUAGAAUUGUGGAGAGGUAAGUGGAAUCCGAGUGUAGAGGUGAAAUUCGUAGAUAUUCGGAAGAACACCAGUGGCGAAGGCGACUUACUGGACACAUAUUGACGCUGAGG
rnacentral:rRNA from 1 species